AGGACGAACGCUGGCGGCGUGCUUAACACAUGCAAGUCGAACGAUGAAGGAGGAGCUUGCUCCUCCGGAUUAGUGGCGAACGGGUGAGUAAUACGUGAGCAAUGUGCCCUUGACUCUGGGAUAAGCG
rnacentral:rRNA from 1 species